AAUAAAAAUCCUGAUGUCGUGCAAGAAGUGCGCCUUUUGUUGAGCGAAGUCCGGUCGAGGGAGAUCCGCGAAUGUAUUUCAAUUACCACCCAUCCUUGCUAUUCCCCUGCCAACUCAUUUGAAACGAGACAAAUGGUAUAUCAUGGUAUCACAGUUGAAUGGAAUAAACCAGAAGAAGGCAACGUCGUUCGAAGUGGGAGGUGCCCGAUCAGCAACCAAUAGAAAGAGCCGCCACCCACGAAGCUAUAAAAAUUAAUUUAUCACUGGGAUCGCCGCCUACGCCAUUGCUCCGUUCGUGGACCCGUGACUCGGCAGCAUCCCGCGAGAUAGCGCUAUCUGUCGGGUCUUCUACCAGAGAGGGCAGCACAAUACUGUAAUGGCAAUAAUGAAACAUGGAGUUAUCUUAUGAGAUAAAUGAAUAUAGAAAACUGAUACAGCAACCGAGGAAUUUAAUUUUGUAUACGUAUUUGACGAUAGCAUACUAGAUGGUGCAACAUCCUAUCUUUUUUAAAGUCGGUAUUUCAGAACAUGUAACAUAAAAUCCCACAAGAUGUCACAUCUAUUACGUUUCUUGUCCAUGGUAUUAAUAUUUUUUCUAUUAUAUUUACUGUCGAUAAGUAAAUAACAGAUGGUAUAUUACCAACUCAUGAUAAAUGCUUUAAUUUUAUCUCAUCCAGUUGGUCUCGCCAUAUCUUUUAUACCUAUCAUUAACAGAGGCAAUGAAGUAAAACUGUGUGGUUACUUAAAUGAUUUUUGCAUAAGCGAAACUCGGAAGUUGCGUCGUUUAAACGCGAAACUUCUCGUCAUUCUUGGCUAUAAGGUAUUCGAUAGUCUAACGAUGAAAUUGCACUCCUUCAUUUGCAAAGCAAAGUUUCGGAAUAUUAAAUAUUACCAUUAAGGUCUUAAGCGUUGAUACUUUUGAAUAUUAAUAUUCAAAAGUAUUCGGGUAAAUAAUAUUAUCGAAUUUAUUUUACACUUGUUUGCCGAUGAAUUGCGAAAUUUCUGCGAACGAAUUUUCAUUUAUAUUCAUUUAAUAAUUCAUGUUGUCAAGUUAUAACAAAAUUCAUCGAGAUAAUUGUUCAAAAUUCUGCCACGAAUGUAAAUUUUGAAAACCUAUCUACCUACAAGUUUACGUAACUUAUACUUACUUAUAAAAAGCGAUAUUUCAUAUUCACUCUAAAAAAAGUUUCCAUCCAUCCAUAGCAUUUCCAUCCCUACAAGAAAUGGAGCUUGUGAAUAAAUAAAUAAAUACGAUCGUUGGGGCGAUCCUCGCGUGUCACGCGCGUGUUGCAUUCUUGAGAGUGUGCGAGUGCCGUUUUGCUCUCCGCGGGUCUGAUUUGAGUUAGCCACACGCCGAGCAAAUCAAUCACGUCGCACGCACUCGGCACACAUGCCGUUAAUGUGCACGCGGGACCACCAGCCGGAGAGAGAAGGGCCCAAGGAUUAGGGCGCGUUUCCGUUUCGAGGAUAAUUACUCGCCAUCCCUCUGAUCUUUGGCUACGUUAACCGACUCUAAACAGGGAAUCGUCUCUACGUCGCUGAUAGAAAGUUAAGACCGUGUGGGACGAAUGGAUUCGUCGCGCAGUAAGUGAAUAUUAUAUCUAUUCGAUUUAGAAAAUUUUUAUGAGAUCGAUACUUGCUUUAUCUAUCACGUUUGGUUAUUUCUUUGUCGUUGAGAAAGAUUCGUUAUUUAGGAUAGAUUUUGUUAAUUAUGUUUGGAAAGAAGAAGAAAAAAAAUGGAUUUUGGUUGAACGAAAACCAAGGGUAACCUUUCUACAAGAUUUCGCAAUGAAUAGACGAUGGAAUAAUAGAUACAAUAAAUUGACGAAUGUGAAUAAUUUUAUUGGCACAAAUAUCUAAAGCUUCGUUGAUUUCACAAUGAACUGAAUAGAAAAUUUCAAGAAUCUUGCCUUUGGAUUUAAAUAAUAAUUUUCCAAGAUUUCAAUAAAUCGUUAAUACAUCUACCUACCAUCCAUUUAUAAUUGAUCUAAAGUUACUUUUUACAGGCAACGAUUGCCUGUGACACGUUGCCUGGUCGUUUCGGUGAAACGAAGGAAGGGUUUGUCUUCUUUUGAAGAAGCUGAAACAGUUGAUAUGAAUCGUUGUCGGAGACACCUCUGAGACGGAAGCAAUUUUCCGACGCCAUCAAGCGUAACGUAAAACACUUCUUGCCGUGGUUCCAUAGGAUUUUUGUUUUCUUCUUUUUCUUUUCCUUUUUUUUUUUCUUUUUCAGAAGAUUCAUAGCAUGAAAUGAGAUUUGGUUGUUUCGUUCGACGCUUUAAUCGCAGGGUGAAUUGGGAGGAUGGGAGUUCGAUUAAGCAGGCUCGAUUUUAUGGUUCUACGAUUAUUCGAACUGCUAUUAGUCCCCGGGAUCUUCAUUAGCCGAUGUAUCAGGGGCGUACGGAGGGAGGUGCUCUGGAAUUGCAACCGGAGUUCGUUAAUUAAUUCCUUAGCCGAGUUCGUUAGAGAGUGAGGCGAAUUUCGAAAACAAUGUUCUUCUUUUCCCCGAGGCGCACGCACGACAAUCGUUCUUAUCGAUCCCCUUGUUCACGAUUCCGAUGGGCCAGGUGGUUGGCGAGGAAAUCGCGCGUCGGAAUAGAAACUUGACGAGUGCAAGUGUGGAGCGCACUUGCGCGAGUAAUUAUCGAGCGGCGCGUACCAGGUCUCCGGAGGAUUAAUUAACUCGUUCUGCUCGCUGGACACCGGCUCAUUACGUGGAUCGACGAGCCACGCUUCGCCGGUGUUUCACGAUCCACCUCUCUCGCGCUCGUCCACGCGUUCGAUUUUUUACCUAGGUCUACGCCUAUUCUAAUCUCGGAGGAUUCGUCCACACCCAGGGUAUACAGGUGUUUUAGAUACCAGCGCUUCUCGUUCCUCAUCCAACCCGUUAACCGGCAUCAUUUUUCACGCAGAUUUCACUUUAACCUUCCUCUCUGACCGUUCCAUCGUGUUCCAUCGAGCGGCCGCACAUAAAUUUCAAUUUUAAACAGGCUGACGUCUCGCGUGCCCGUGGAAAGGAUGAUUCUUGUGCGGCGAGCACAGGUAGUAGAAUUAAAGGGAGGGAGGGGGGAGGAGAAAAAAGAAGAAGGGAGGGACGAGAGCAGACCGCGAUUACGGUAUCUGGUUUGAUUAAAAGGCCAUCCAGGAUGGAGCCGAUAUUGAUUUUGGCCGAUGCUUUUAAAGCGGCUACGCGGGCCCACGAAUUAAUGUAAAAGCGGAUGGGUAUAUAGGCGCGUGGAACGGUGGAUUUUUCAUGAAAAUUAGCCGCGCCUCUCCCCCUUCUUCUCCUCUCCCUCCUCCCUGAUGUCAUUUUCCGUACCGCGUGAGAAUUCAAUUUCUGCAAUCCGUCGCGCGAUAUGAUUUAACCGAACGACGCGACGCGACGAGACGCGACACGACGCGACGUUCGAUCCUCCGUGAUUCAUUUUUAAUUUGAUCCGCGUUAAGCCGCGUUCAGACGAGUGUACAUGGAUGAGAUGCUUGAAAAUUUUAGUUGAAUCUAUCGAGUGGUCUUCGAAGCAGUAAUGGUACAGUUGAAAAGGACUUUACAGUUCGAGACUUGGAAAAGAAAUUUGAUACGACGCGAUAUCAUAUUCAUUUGUUGUAUCUAAAUUACAAUUGUUGGAAUGCGUGAUGAAUCAUUUAAAAUUUCGAAACGAUAAAUUUGUUCUUACCGUAUCAAAAUAAUCUUCAAAAUUUGGUUCAAUCUUUAAACAAAUAUUUUGGCAUUCAAUUUAUUUCCUUUGGUUGCUUGAACUGAAGAAUUCUCUAUUCCUACGUAAAAUUGAAUGAAACAAGUACUCUCCAUCUCUCUAGAAAAACUUAAAUUUUUCCAUCGUUCCAAUUCCUUCAUCCGAACUCAGCAAUAAAAUCUCAACUCUCCUUCCAACUAACGAUGUCAAGAUGGAUUCGGAUCUCGUGUCGAGGUUGAAAUCCGCGAGCGUAGAAAUCCGCCCCAAUUGCGCCUGUAUUUUUCUUUUUUUUUUCACUGCUCUUCGACCGCGCGGAAGCUGCAUCGGGCAUUAAAGGGGAUGAAGCGAGGCGCGUGACACAGAUUUAGAUAAAAGUGUUGUAGAGGCUCGGCCCCCGGGGCUAGCUUAAGCACGGAAUUAUAGAAUUAGAAUCGACGAGAGAAUCGCGAUAUCCUUUUAUCGUGCUUCACCACCGGCGUUGCGUGGUUUUGGAGGAAAGGGGAGGGAGAUGUUUUUUCUCCUUUUCUUCCUUUUUCUAUUUCAUCCAUUCGAGCGAAAAGGAGCGUGAAACAGAGAGAGAGAGAGAGAAAGGACACGUCCGAUCGCGGAGGUGAAUUGCAACGCGUUUGAACGAAAAAAGGGGGGAGCGAAUUGAGGGGCGAGGGGGAUUGGUUCCGAGGAAUAAAUCCGCUCAUGCUCGACGUACACGCGCCGGCAGGAACGACGUCCGCUGGAUACGUACACCCGCGGGAUUUCCAUAAUUUGAAUUGUAAAAGUAUUCGGCCGCCAAUUGCAGCCUCCGAAUUUAUGCAGUCCGCCCCCGUGCCGGCUAUCCCUUUCGCGACGCCCCUUGAGGGAGACUUCACGCGAAUAUCGACGCGUGCUUCGGAUAUAUCUCGUCUUUUACGCCCUUGAAAAUCCUUUCGAGAUGUGGUGGAAUCUCCGGGAUGCGGGAGAGGGGAGGGAAGGAAUGGAGGCGUUUGGAAUUUUUGUUAAGGCUGAUUCUUGGGGUUAACCCAAGAUUUGAGAAAUAUGUAUUGAAAUGUUUCUUUUUUUUAUUAUUUUUUUCAUUUUGAAAUGAAGAUAGAAAAUGAAAAUUUUAAGAUCUACGCUUAAUUAAUUAUUAAUAGUGGAUCGUUAUAUUUUAAUUAAAUUCAUAAUUUUCACAAAUGCUAUUGAUUUUAUUUACGAUACUGUACAUUUUGAUUAAUCCUAUUAUUCUUUGAUAAAUAAAUUUACAGUCUUUCUACGUAUAAUCCUAUUAUAAAUUCUUUUACGUGUAAUCUCUUUUAAAUAUUGGAAUCCUCUUUAUUGUUUGAGCUGGCAAGCAAUUUAAAUAAUAUUUUUCCGUCUCUUUCUCU